CACUAAAUGGCUCUUGAACUCAGUCUCGAACGAAUGAUUCGACUGGAACUUUCAUUUGUAAUUGGCCAUGCAUCGAGCGAUAACUGCGUGCACGCACCUUAUUAACAAGGUCAGAAGUGGUCCGCAAAGUCGUCCUUCACAUUCGCGGUAUCGGAGAAUCAUCAGUUUGCCAUAGUUGCAAAGUAACCAAGUAAUUUCCCCGCCUCACUUGCUUCCUUUGAAUUUCAGUCUUUUAACCCGCGGAGAACGAUCAAGAAUCAAGAGCGAGUCUCGCAUCGUAGCGUGGAUAAGAGACCCGGAAAUUUAAAUGUUUCCAUUUGGUUGGCGUAAGACAAGGUUCCCAUUGAGCGAAUACUUAAGUGACGCAAUUUUUGCCGAGUCUUAAAUUCUUCAGCAAGCCUACAGCUCACCCAGCAAACGAAAGUCGUUUUUUCAGCCAGAACGUAUGUGGGCAGUGUGGGGGCGUGGAAAAUUACUCGAUCAUCUCCGAUCAGUUCUGCUCCUGUUUCCGGUAUCGUUAUACAACUUCAUUCGCCUCACGUGCUGGGCAGAUGUGCGAACACGGUUUACAUGUCUCGCUGCAUCGACGCUCCAUGUGUGGGAGGACUGUUACGCAGCCUCUACACACACGCGCAUGCAAUGCUCUUGCUUACCAGGCAGCCGCGGGUUGUUCGACUCCGAUGCAUCCCGCUUCCCGCGAAAGAUCUUCGCAUAGAUAGGAAUGAAUGACCGAGUCAUUGGCCUCGCCCUACCACACGUCGACCCCUUUCCUCAUUGCCGACUCUAACCGGCGUUACUUUUGCCACAUAACCACUUCAAAGUGGACGCCGUAAGGCCACGUGCACCUCCGAGAUCGAGCUUUUAACUCCGUCAGCUCGCGAGGCUUGGAGUUCGAGAAGAAACAGAAUUGAUCCGAGCUCCCAUGAAUGGGAUUCGUUCACGUUCGGAAGCAUAUUAUGUCCACGUGAAACCAGAUCGAGCAGCGAAACGGCGAGGCGACACUAAUGUGUAAGUCUCUUACCUACCUUCAUGAAGUCAAACCCGAAAGUUUCUCUAGCUCUCCUGAAGAGGUCCGGCGAUGCUGGAGAGCCGCCGGUCAGACCGAUCGAAAUCUCGCCAAUCGGAGCCUUCAGCUCUUGCUGCGUGCUCACCAAAUCCACCUGAAACAAUCGGGUUAAUGUGUUGCCGUUCCCUACGCACCGAAUUAAUCUCCUACUUUCGCCUUACCCACAUCGUAGGAGUUCCGUAUAUCACUGUACAUUUCUCUCUGGCAAUGGCAUUCACCGAUUCCUUAGAGUUGAAGGAUUGUCCAGCACGCAUGACCGUCGUUCCACAUUGCCGACUCGUCGCUCGUUCCAUGUUCAGACCAAACGCAUGGAAAUACGGAACGUCUAGACAGAUCCGAUGGUGCAUGUCACUCAGCAUACACCUCUGAACAGCCUGCCAAGGAAAUAAGACGAGAAAUUUACGUUUAUACCGUGAUUGGGUUUAUUCUUCCAAUUUGAAAACCGGUUUUGAUUCGAAAUUGACACCUGUCAUCUUUCAUUAAGAGAUUAAAAUGGCGAAAUUAACGGGUAAUUUGCAGUUAUGCGAACUGACAAUGUAAAUCGUGUACCAGGUCCCUCAGUACAAGGUAUAAUAUCGAUGAGCUGUCAAUCAGAAUUACAAAACACCGUUUGAACAUUCUGGAAAAAAGAAACAUUGCUGAUGUUCACUAGAACUAUGUCAAGGACUUUUCAAAAUAGGCCACGUCAUGUAUGUAUAGGCCUCUACGUUGAUAAUGAAGCUUGGUGAGAACCAUCGUUAUCAGCGAACAAUGCUAAUUACCGUGAUAAUUCCAAGUCCUGAGAAAACUUGAAAGAUUACGCUCAUGACUGAAGCAUACACAGUCUGUUGUGAUCAAAGCACGAAGUGAUUUUUCAGCCAUGCCUGCGAGUUGGUUAUAAUGUGCGGGCUGCAUUACAAAUCGUUCGAAUGCAUGCUGAAAAAUCAUAACCGAGGUACAGAAUUUGCCAGGAUGUACCGUCGCGACUGACUUUGUAGAAGGUCAAAAAAGUCGCCAAACCUAACUUGACGCGUCACCGCAAUUUCCAUUCAUUCUUUCGUUGCCGUCGUUUCUAUACGACGUAGUUGUUCAGCAAAAAACGUAUACAAUGAAAGUUAAAGUUAGGAGUCACCAGCACCCCCCAAUCUCACCUGCUUGGAAUUGUUUACGUAUGAUCUGUGGGCCACCUCGGGAGCUUUCGGUCGUCCAGUGGUACCGGAAGUGAAUUGAAUAACCAUGCCGCUCCCGGGAGAGAUUUCACCCUGUUUAGCACCGAUGGCUUCCAUUUCUAUGCUGCUGGCCAGGGACUCGACGUCGACGAAUCUCCUGGUGCCACUGUGAUGGAUGAAAUUUUUUAGGAAAAAUUAAUUAAAAUCCACUCACGAAAGUUAAUCCCGAGUGUUAUUCUUCACAUCUAUAUGUAAUCUGCGUGUGUAAUUUGAACGAAUAAUUGUUCAAACUUU